AUUGAACGCUGGCGGCAGGCCUAACACAUGCAAGUCGAGCGGAUGAGUGGAGCUUGCUCCAUGAUUCAGCGGCGGACGGGUGAGUAAUGCCUAGGAAUCUGCCUGGUAGUGGGGGACAACGUUUCGAAAGGAACGCUAAUACCGCAUACGUCCUACGGGAGAAAGCAGGGGACCUUCGGGCCUUGCGCUAUCAGAUGAGCCUAGGUCGGAUUAGCUAGUAGGUGAGGUAAUGGCUCACCUAGGCGACGAUCCGUAACUGGUCUGAGAGGAUGAUAAGUCACACUGGAACUGAGACACGGUCCAGACUCCUACGGGAGGCAGCAGUGGGGAAUAUUGGACAAUGGGCGAAAGCCUGAUCCAGCCAUGCCGCGUGUGUGAAGAAGGUCUUCGGAUUGUAAAGCACUUUAAGUUGGGAGGAAGGGCAGUAAGUUAAUACCUUGCUGUUUUGACGUUACCAACAGAAUAAGCACCGGCUAACUUCGUGCCAGCCGCCGCCGUAACAC
rnacentral:rRNA from 1 species